rnacentral:snoRNA from 1 species
CAGCGAUGAUUGAAGAUUUGUGCAGUGGCCGAGGCGAUUGGAAUUGCGACGUCGCCUGAGAAGGCGGGACCCAACGUUGCGCCUUUCGCCAGAAGAUGGAUGUGUUGCGCAAUGUCUGAGCUAC